rnacentral:rRNA from 1 species
ACGGAAGGCAGCAGUGGGGAAUAUUGGGCAAUGGGGGAAACCCUGACCCAGCAACGCCGCGUGAAGGAAGAAGGCCCUCGGGUUGUAAACUUCUUUUACCAGGGACGAUAAUGACGGUACCUGGAGAAAAGGCAACGGCUAACUACGUGCCAGCAGCCGCGGUAAUACGUAGGUUGCAAGCGUUGUCCGGAUUUACUGGGUGUAAAGGGCGUGUAGGCGGAACUGCAAGUCAGAUGUGAAAUCCCGGGGCUCAACCCCGGAACUGCAUUUGAAACUGUAGUCCUUGAGUAUCGGAGAGGCAAGCGGAAUUCCUAGUGUAGCGGUGAAGUGCGUAGAUAUUAGGAGGAACACCAGUGGCGAAGGCGGCUUGCUGGACGACAACUGACGCUGAGGCGCGAAAGCGUGGGGAGCAAACAGGAUUAGAUACCCUGGUA